CUACGGGUGGCUGCAGUGGGGAAUAUUGGACAAUGGGCGCAAGCCUGAUCCAGCCAUGCCGCGUGUGUGAAGAAGGCCUUCGGGUUGUAAAGCACUUUCAGUUGGGAGGAAAGGUUAGUCGCUAAUAUCGGCUAGCUGUGACGUUACCAACAGAAGAAGCACCGGCUAACUCCGUGCCAGCAGCCGCGGUAAUACGGAGGGUGCAAGCGUUAAUCGGAAUUACUGGGCGUAAAGCGUACGCAGGCGGUUGAUUAAGCGAGAUGUGAAAGCCCCGGGCUCAACCUGGGAACUGCAUUUCGAACUGGUCAACUAGAGUGUGAUAGAGGGUGGUAGAAUUUCAGGUGUAGCGGUGAAAUGCGUAGAGAUCUGAAGGAAUACCGAUGGCGAAGGCAGCCACCUGGGUCAACACUGACGCUCAUGUACGAAAGCGUGGGGAGCAAACAGGAUUAGAUACCCCAGUAGUC
rnacentral:rRNA from 1 species